rnacentral:rRNA from 1 species
UAGGGAAUCUUAGACAACGGGGGCAACCCUGAUCUAGCCAUGCCGCGUGUGUGAUGAAGGCCCUAGGGUCGUAAAGCACUUUCGCCAGAGAUGAUAAUGACAGUAUCUGGUAAAGAAACCCCGGCUAACUCCGUGCCAGCAGCCGCGGUAAUACGGAGGGGGUUAGCGUUGUUCGGAAUUACUGGGCGUAAAGCGCACGUAGGCGGAUUAGUAAGUUAGAGGUGAAGUCCCAGGGCUCAACCCUGGAACUGCCUUUAAUACUGCUAGUCUUGAGUUCGAGAGAGGUAAGUGGAAUUCCGAGUGUAGAGGUGAAAUUCGUAGAUAUUCGGAGGAACACCAGUGGCGAAGGCGGCUUACUGGCUCAAUACUGACGCUGAGGUGCGAAAGUGUGGGGAGCAAACAGGAUUAGAUACCCUGGUAGUCCACACCGUAAACGAUGAAUGCCAGACGUCAGCAAGUAUACUUGUUGGUGUCACACCUAACGGAUUAAGCAUUCCGCCUGGGGAGUACGGUCGCAAGAUUA